rnacentral:rRNA from 1 species
UGGGGAAUUUUGGACAAUGGGCGAAAGCCUGAUCCAGCAAUGCCGCGUGUGUGAAGAAGGCCUUCGGGUUGUAAAGCACUUUUGUCCGGAAAGAAAUCCUUGGCUCUAAUACAGUCGGGGGAUGACGGUACCGGAAGAAUAAGCACCGGCUAACUACGUGCCAGCAGCCGCGGUAAUACGUAGGGUGCAAGCGUUAAUCGGAAUUACUGGGCGUAAAGCGUGCGCAGGCGGUUUGCUAAGACCGAUGUGAAAUCCCCGGGCUCAACCUGGGAACUGCAUUGGUGACUGGCAGGCUAGAGUAUGGCAGAGGGGGGUAGAAUUCCACGUGUAGCAGUGAAAUGCGUAGAGAUGUGGAGGAAUACCGAUGGCGAAGGCAGCCCCCUGGGCCAAUACUGACGCUCAUGCACGAAAGCGUGGGGGAGCAAACAGGAUUCAGAUACCCUGGUAGUCCACGCCCUAAACGAUGUCAACUAGUUGUUGGGGAUUCAUUUCCUUAGUACGUAGCUAACGCGUGAAGUUGACCGCCUGGGGAGUACGGUCGUAAGAUUAAAACUUAAAUGAAUUGACGGGGUCAUAGCUGUUUCC